GUAGUGGUAACGCGUUGGCAGUCCGUGGACGACGGAGGCAGUGCCGAAAAUAGGUGGCAGGCUACAGCUCGUCUCUUGCUCCUGGUGGAAGUCAUCUGUCCUUUCCUUCCCUGUUUCGGCCCACCUCUCAACCAAUCACCGUUUGACCGACGCACAACGUCAUCCACGUCAUCCACCACUAGGAACGUGCAGUUGGGAUUUUGGAGGACUGCACUGCAGCACGUUUGCGGUACUUGUCUGUAGGAAAAGGCAAUACACAAAAGGAAACAAUUGAUUCAAUAUGUCACUUGUCUCUUUGAGAUUGUCAUUGUUAUUGUUCUAAAUAAAGUUCAUUUGAAAAAACAAAAAAACAAAACAAAAAAAAAGGAAACAAUUACCGGACCAUAAACGCAUCAUCAGGAAGCAUCAUUGCACUUUGUCUUAACUUGUAUAUAUAAGCAGUGACCACAGACACUUGACAUGAUUUCUCUGACAUCAAACUGGAAAAAGGACCAUAAAAGGAGAAAUAUAAAAAUGAGAAAUACAGUUUUGAAAUGAUAUACAGACACAUCUGCCCCAACAGCAAUUUGGUGAUUUUUAAAACUUUUAAAGCUCUUUUGUUAAAUGUUAAUGUUCUUCUGAGAUCGUCUCCCAACCAAGCUGCAACUAAUGCAAAAUGAAACCAGUGCUGAAGUGCCAAAAGUCCCAGUUUCUCCAGUGGCCUCUUGAUAGAUUUAGCUACCAGUUCCUAAUUUGAAAAGUUGGAAGUGCCUUAAAACUCCAUUCUUUUAACUGGUCAGCAGGCUGCUGUUGGGAUGGACUUAAGCAAAAAUUCACAGGGGACCCCUCCAACCAGCGUUCAUCUCUAUUUUUUUAUAAUCUCACACUCCUAAUAGUACUAACAGUCCUAUAAAAUCCAGGUGUUUAUUACUCCAGAAAUGCCAGUGACCACAUUUGUUUUUUCCUCUUCUUUUUUUCUUUUUGCACUCCUAGAAAAAUAAUUCAUAAUUUUCCUGGCAUGAUUCUGUCCCCUUUGAGUCGGAUGGAACCUCCUUAGAGAGGUUAGGUCUCUCUAACUGUCACUGCCAACUUUGCACAUUGUAA